CGAGCCUGCAACUCAGGUGUUCUGACAACUGCACGAAACCAUAACAAAUGCGGGUCUGGUCAGCUAACUUCGCGAUGGAGCGUCGCGGCUGCGCACUGCGUGAGAAGAAAAAAUCAUUGUACUCCAGAGAAAAGGAGUAUAAUAAUUAACAUGAAACAUCAAGGACUAAAUAUUGCUGAUACUGCAGCAAACAAAAAACAAUAUCCUUUCUUGUCCUCUAGUAAAGAAACCAUUGGAACAAGACUAAAAGCUUACACAAAAAUGUAUUAUCUUGCAGAAUUUAGUUUUAAGGUAUUUUGAAGUGAUAUAAUUAAAUUAGACCGUCCUCCUCCUAAUCAAAGUUUGGAUCCCAGAUAAACUAUAAAAACUUUGACACAGUGGAGGAAAAGUUUUGCCUAGGGUUCCUUUCCUUGGAACGGUAUAGGACCAAUUCACAACAUUACUAGUAAUAUGAACCAUUUCGUAUAUAGAGACAUUAUGAGAGAUGUUGUGGAACCAUUUACCAACGAUAUUACUCAAUUACUCAAUUACUUUAUGUAUUUAAAUGCCUGUAUCCAAAGCUUUUGGUUAAAAGAUAAAAAUAUUGAGGUUCCCUAUUGACCAACGUAAAGUCCACAUCUAAAUACAAUUGAAGAUUUAUGGAACUAUUGUAAUCUCGAUCAAAACACCAAAAGGCAUCAAAUUUAGAUUGGUUAUUAAUUGAAGAGUCGUGAAAUAUAAUUUCAAACGUCCAAUGCUGAUAUUUUAUUGAAUUUUUGCUUCGUCAUUUAUAAGUGGUUAUAAUGAACAAAAUAUACCCAACAAAAUAUUCAUAAUUUUGUUUAAAAUAUAAAUUAUUUAACAAAUAUAUAUUUUUCAAAAGUGUGCCAUCUCUGUGACCAGCUACAUUUCACAUUUAUUUUAUAUAAGAUUUAAUUUAGGAGGAA